CAGUAAGUAGUUUAAUUAAAAUAUUAAUUUUGGAGAUUAAUGAUGAAUUUAUAAUUCUUUACUGA
rnacentral:tRNA from 1 species